UACGUAGGGUGCGAGCGUUAAUCGGAAUUACUGGGCGUAAAGCGUGCGCAGGCGGUUUUGUAAGCCAGAUGUGAAAGCCCCGGGCUUAACCUGGGAACUGCAUUGGUGACUGGCAGGCUUUGAGUGUGGCAGAGGGAGGUAGAAUUCCACGUGUAGCAGUGAAAUGCGUAGAGAUGUGGAGGAAUACCGAUGGCGAAGGCAGCCUCCCGGGCCAACACUGACGCUCAUGCACGAAAGCGUGGGGAGCAAACAGG
rnacentral:rRNA from 1 species